UUCUAUAAAUGGAACAAGAAGCCCUGGAUGACAGCAUAAUCUGUUUAUAGCAUGGUUUACUGAAUAUGUUAAUUCUACUGUUCAGGCAUACUGAUCAGAAGAUUUUUUUCAAAAUAUCGUUGCUUAUUGACAAUGCACCUUGUCACCCAACAUCUCUGUUAGUUUCAUGCCUGUUAACACAGCCUAUGAAUCAGGGGGUAGUUUUGAUUUUCAAGUCUUAUUACUUAAGAAAUACAUUUUAUAAGGCUAAGGUUGCCAUAGAUAGUGAUUCCUCUGAUGGAUCUGGGCAAAAUAAAUUGAAAACCUUCUGGGAAGGAUUCACCAUUCUGGAUUCCAGAACAUGUAUUCAUGAUACAUGGAAUAUUUUGAUAUUCAAAGUCAAAAUAUCAACAUUCAAAGGUGUUUGGAAGAAAUGGAUUCCAAGCCUCAUGGAUGACUUUGAGAGAUUCAGGACUUCAGUGGAGGAAGGAAUGGCAGAUGUGGAGAAAUAG